AUUGAACGCUAGCGGCAUGCCUUACACAUGCAAGUCGAACGGCAGCACGGGGCCACCUGGUGGCGAGUGGCGAACGGGUGCGUAAUGUAUCGGAACGUGCCCAGUAGCGGGGGAUAACUACGCGAAAGCGUAGCUAAUACCUCAUACGCCCUACGGGGGAAAGGGGGGGAUCGCAAGACCUCUCACUAUUUGAGCGGCCGAUAUCGGAUUAGCUAGUUGGUGAGGUAAAGGCUCACCAAGGCUUCGAUCCGUAGCUGGUUUGAGAGGACGACCAGCCACACUGGGACUGAGACACGGCCCAGACUCCUACGGGAGGCAGCAGUGGGGAAUUUUGGACAAUGGGGGCAACCCUGAUCCAGCAAUGCCGCGUGUGCGAAGAAGGCCUUCGGGUUGUAAAGCACUUUUGGCGGGAACGAAACGGUGCCGGAUAAUACCUGGCGCCACUGACGGUACCCGCAGAAUAAGCACCGGCUAACUACGUG
rnacentral:rRNA from 1 species